CUCCCAAACACGUGCCAUUUUGACAUGUAUGGCUGCAUUUGGAAAUGUGUGUAUCAAAAUCACCUAUUGUUAAUUAGUGUUAUCAAUCUUGUAAAACUGGACUUAUCCACAAAGUAGUAUAUCUUUUCCAUCUUCUAACUUGCAAAUGUUUCUGGAUAACAGGGUCGAAACCAGGCGGUUCUCCCAUAUUCAAGAUAGUGUCAUCAACACCACGUAAAACUGCUUCUGAUGACUUCCUAAACACCGACAGCGAGAAAAAUGAUUAUGAUUGGCUUCUUACGCCACCUGGUACUCCUCUUUUUCCUUAUCUGGAAAUGGAGUCAAACAAAUCCACCCUGGGUCAGAUUGUAACCCCCAAAGCUCGUCCAACUGCACUGAAGUCUAGGGUGAGCCCUCAGUAUGACUUGUGGAUUCUCGGUUAUCAAUCCUUGCAAUUGCAUUACUUGAAUGCUACAAAGUUCUGUGACAGCAUCUCUAAUGGGAUAGCUAUGAAUCUGUCUUCUUGGUGUAUUUUGCUUUUCUUGUUGUUUUCAUGCAGCUGUCUUGUGCAAUUAAUUUAUUGCGACAUCCCUGCAUGUUACACUUGGAUAUUUAUUUAGUUGAAUGUAACUGUAGGGACAUUAGAAGAUGCCCUUGUCUGAGCUUGGGCAGUAAAGAAUUGGUUGCAAACAGAUGUUAUUGUUUCUUAACAUUUAGAGCUCCACAUAUGCUAUUAUACGUUCUCAAGGAAAGGGUUGGUCUCCUAGGGUCAACCUUUUAAUCUUA